AUGGAACAAUCGCCCUAUAUUAGGGUUAGGGAUUUUCACCAGGCUGGGGUUAGGAUUAGAAAAACUAGCUGUCCUGGGACAAUUUUGAUCGUUGCAUUGGGCUGGGAAUGGGAAGACAUGUUGAGCUGAGCAAAAAAACCAAGUUUGGGAGGCUUUUUAAACAAUCGCACUAUUAUGAAUGGAACAAUCGCCCUAUAUUAGGGUUAGGGAUUUUCACCAGGCUAGGGUAAGGGUUGGAAAACCUAGGUGCACAGAAACAAUUUUUAUGGUUGCAUUAGGCCAGGAAUGGGAAGCAAUGUUGAGCUGUGCAAAAAAACCAAGUCUGGGAGGCUUUUUAAAAAAUCGCACUAUUAUGAAUGGAGCAAUCGCCCUAUAUUAGGGUUAGGGAUUUUCACCAGGCUAGGGUUAGGGUUAGAAAACCUAGGUGUCCUGGGACAAUUUUGAUGGUUGCAUUAGGCCGGGAAUGGGAAGUAAUGUUGAUCUGUGCAAAAAAUCCAACCCUGGGAGGGUUUU